rnacentral:rRNA from 1 species
ACUCAAAUGAAUUGACGGGGACCCGCACAAGCAGUGGAUCAUGUGGUUUAAUUCGAUGCUACGCGAAGAACCUUACCGAGGCUUGACAUCCCUGGAAUCCCGAUGAAAGUCGGGAGUGCCCUCGGGAACCAGGUGACAGGUGCUGCAUGGCCGUCGUCAGCUCGUGUCGUGAGAUGUUGGGUUAAGUCCCGCAACGAGCGCAACCCUUGUCGUGUGUUGUAUUUUUCACGCGAGACCGCCCGGGCCAACCGGGAGGAAGGUGGGGAUGAAGUCAGGUCUGCAUGGCCCUUACGCCUCGGGCUACACACGUGAUACAAUGGCCGGUACAACGCGUUGCCAAAUCGUGAGAUGGAGCUAAUCGCACCAAAACCGGUCCCAGUUCGGAUUGCAGGCUGCAACUCGCCUGCAUGAAGCCGGAAUUGCUAGUAACCGUGGGUCAGCACACCACGGUGAAUACGUUCCCGGGUCUUGCACACACCGCCCGU